rnacentral:lncRNA from 1 species
UAAGUGUAUAAUUGUUUACAUAUAGAAUUAGAAGUAAUUCUAUCAUUUUUAAACAUUCCCACAAGUGCAUAAUUAUUUACAUAUUAAAUUAGAAGCAAUUCCUAAUAAGUUUUGUUACUCAUACCAAGAUGGUUGCAUUCCAUCAAGGUAAAGUAAGUAUCCAUUAUAGAAACAAGAUGAAAAUGGUGGCGGAUAUGAAAUUUUAACAAGAUGAUAUAUUACCCAAUAGAAACAAUUUGGGACAUCGAUAUUUGAAACCUUACAUUACAGCACCAAAACCCAGUAAAGUAGUCAUCUAGGAACCACUUACUGGGUAAGAAAUAUUCAGAUACACACUAGAGAUGCCAAGAACCAUUACUAAACAAAGUUUGUGAUAAUCUACAUCCUUCUUCAAAUCAUAAUCCUCCCUUUAUUUUGCACAGUUUUAAUACUAUUAGCUAAUAUCUUUAUAGCUUGUGAGGAUGCAGAUGUGGCGUUGCCCCUUUAAUAAAUCUUAUCUAGCAUUUAGAAAUGGCAGUUUCAACCAUUCCCGCAAUAACUUGAUCUGCUCCAAACCAAACUGGAUUGGAUUUUGACCUUUAACAAGAACUUAAAUGGAGAUGGGGAGAACCAAAAAUUAAUAAACUGAAUAGGCUUAUCCAUCACUUACUGAAUUGGCAAUUUAUUUUUUUGAGGGCUUCCUAAAGUCAGCAGCUCGUUGAAUAAAAACCAUGUUUUCCAUAUUGCAUAUACUUUAUCGGAGAUGAACAUAUAAAAGCAAACAGGAAACAAUUAAAGAUCAGAGACAUUGAAUCAAAACACUGAUAUUCUGUACUACAUAAUAAACAGGUAUUUCCGUAUCAACAGAUCAUGCAAUAUCAUAAAUAAAAGGCCAUUCUACAUAACCAAUUUAACAAUUAAUAUAUAUCAAGAAGUAGAUCCGUUCGAUAAAAUAUUGUAAGUUGAAUUUUCUAUCCGAAUUAUAAUGAAAGAAUAUGUUUUUAGUAGUAAAGUAGAGAGAAAUUAAAAAAAAAAAUCUACCUUCAAAAGAUUACGCGGAGGAGCAACUGUAUAAAUUUUGGCAGACGAUUCAAGUGCUUACCAAACCCUAAUUUGCUUAGAAUUUGGUCCAAUUCUGUUUCAGCGCCACCGAUAUUGAGGGAACCAAGAGACGGGAAAGCGAUAGCUAAUCUUAGUUGUCCCAGCAGGCAGCACCAGACAAAAGGAUAUAAAUAAAGGUGAGUUACAGUUACCUCCCUCUAGGUUAGAACUUAUUACACAUAGAACCCUUCUUCUUUGU